rnacentral:lncRNA from 1 species
CGCCACUCUUCUUCUCAUUUCGCCUUCUCCAUUUUCUGCAAAAUCUCCACUGUGCUUAAAUGGUGAUUCUUCUAUUCCGAUAUUUAUAUUCAUACUUAGAUCUUCACGUUUUAUAAAAAUAUUAUCCACACCGAGUUUUUACACCAAUUAAAGUAACAUUUGUCUUGCAUUUUUUCACUUUGAUUUGUUGAUUUUUCAAGUUAAUUGCUUGAUUUGGCGUAUACACUUGAUAUUGAUAAAUAUUUAUCCUUCUGUAAAGUUGUUUUUUGAGUAGUUAAUGAUCAAAAACGCAACUCAAGUUUUUUUUUCUCGUGAAUUUCAUACUCCAGCUAUAAGUUGUUUUCUUUUUGUAUUUUAACUAUCUAUGUAUUAAAAGGAUUAACUGAUAGAUGUGGUAUGAAAUUCGCGAAAAAAUGAUUGUUCAGAUUCAUAGUUGGAGUUCAUAUUGUUAUGGCUAUGACGAUAAAAAAUAUAAAAGUAGUGGACUGAAAAAUACAUUGAUGAAUAAAUUAAUUCUGAGCGAUGCUUAUUUCAUGUUCUUAUUUAUCUUAUGUUAUAUAUUUUUUUUCAUUUUUCACACUACAUCCCUGUGAUGAGUUCUUUCUAAAUUUAACGUUAAAAGUAGACUGAUCUUUAAAGGAAGAAAAAUACUCAAUUCUGAGGGAUGAAUUAUUUUCUUACAUUAGUCCUUUUUUUUAGUUGGGAAUUUUACAAAUUCUAGUUGAUAGACAAGUUAAGAUUCUAAUUAUUUGCUGCUAUUUGAAAAUUACUGAACUUUUUUGUUCCAACGACUGUAGCCAAUUUAAGAAAGUUCUUUUUUUUUUGCUGUGAUUUGUUAUAAAUUGUGUUGUAUUUAGAAUAUUUGAAUCUCUGUGAUGAACUAGCUGAAUAAUUUAAAAGUAGUGGCCUGAUGACCAUUGAUGAAAAGCUUUGUUCUGAGGGAUUCCGCAAAAUGUUGGUUGGGCGGAGGGGCUCUACUGGAGUAACUAGUUUUUUUGCUUUAAUUUUACCACAUAUGUAGUGUUGAUUUGCACGUUGAGUGGCACUUGAUAUUAUGUUUGACCAGUUUUUUGCUUAAAGAUGGUGCCUUUUUGUUGUUAGACAUCAUCCCUCUAGAGUACUAUCGUUUUCUUUGUCAGUAAUUUUGUAAUGUACCUCGUUUUAGAAAUUAUUUGUUGUUGUUAUAUGUUAUAAUGUGUCUUGUGUUUUACUUGAGACGAGGGUUUGACUGAAAUAACCUCUUUACAAGGUAGGGGUAAGGCUUCGUACACAUCACCCUGCUUAGACCUCACUUGUGGUUUGUCGUGUUGUUGUUGAAUCCCUCUGAUGAAUUAGCUGAAUAAUUUAAAAGUAGUGGCCUGAUGACCAUUGAUGAAAAGCUUUGUUCUGAGGGAUUCUUUGUUUAUUUAUUGACUUGAUGUGGUAAAAGCUAGAUUUUGCUUUUGAUGUUAUGUUUAAACAUCUUCUUUUUUUUGCUUUAAAUGGUGUCUUUGUCUUGUUAGGUGUUAUUGUUCUCGAGUACUAUUGUCUUCUUAGUCAGUAAUAUGCAACUUGCAUCUCCAUAAAUAUUAGCUAUGGCAAUUUAAGGUUGUGAACUGAAGCCAAUUGAUGAUUUACAUUGUGACAGGUGAUUUUAAAAAUUAUUUAUUGCUGUGAUAUGUUAUAAUGUGUCUGCUUUUUCAGAAGUUUCUUUGAUACUUGUGAUGAAUCAACUGAAUAAUUUUAAAGUAGUGGCCUGAUGACCAUUGAUGAAAAACUUUUUGCCGAGGGAUUUCUUGUUUACAUUUAGUGUUAAGUAGUUUUUGCCUUAAUUUUACCACAAAUGUACUGUCAAUUUGCAUAUACAAUGGCACUCGGUAUUACAUGUUUAUGCCUAAAAAUCUAAAAAUGUGGUGUCUUUUUUCUUGUUAGGCAUCAGUCAUCACUAUUCUGGAGUGCUAGUCAAUAAUAUGGUUAUUUACAUCGUCUUAGAAUAUUGUUAUACUGCGAUAUGUUAUAAUGUGUCUUGAUUUUUCAGAAGUAUUUAAAUCCCGAUGAUGAAGUUAGCUGAAUAAUUUAAAAGUAGUGGCCUGAUGACCAUUGAUGAAAAGCUUUACUCUGAGGGAUUUCAUGUUUCUUUGCUUUGUUUCUUCUUCUUCUUCACAAAGGGACUUGAUAUGGUUAAACUAGUUUUUGUUUUAGUUAACAUAUGUUGUGUCAAUUCGCACGUACAAUUGUACGCGAUAGUGUUUUUAAGCCCUUUUUCUUUUUGCCAAUACAUAUUGUCUUUUUCUUGCUAGCCAUCAUCCUUCUACUACUAUUGUUUUCUUAGUCAGUAAUUUGGUAAUAUACUUCAUCUUAAAGUAUUUUCUUGUAUUCAUACAUGGGUAUAGCCAGGUGAUGCCGGAAAAUUAUAUGGUUAAAAUUACUUUUUUUGUAGACAUAGUAGAUGUUGAACCUCAUUCGGCUUCUUUGUGUGUUAACUUCUUCAUAUUUUGAUCCCUUAAGUGAAAAUCUUGGCCUUGCCACUGUUUAUACAUACGAUGCUUAAUAAGAUACUUUCAACUAUUGUGCAAAUAUAGUACAUAGAUAUUGCCAAAGGUUCUUAUUCAGAUCCCUGUGUUAGAUUGUGUGGAGCCAAAAAAAAAAAUAUGGUGAACUUGUUUUUGCUUUAAUUGUACCACAUCUGUGGUGUCGAUUUGCUUGUACAAUGGCACUCAAUAUUACAUUUAAUAUAUUUUCUUGUAUAUAUAUACCUAAGAUACUUAUGUAAUGUUACUCAACUUUCAACUGUCAAUUCUGAGUUGUACCAUAUUAUAGUUUUAUGAGUUGGAUGUGAUGAAUAGAUUUUGUCAAAGGUACUUGUUCAGAUUCUUCCUUUGUUUGAUAUACUUGUCCCCUUGUUUGUUGUAAGAUUGUGUGGAGUUCAAAAAAAGAGAACAAGAUUGUACUUGACAUUGUUUGUUGCUUUAUCUCUAGUUGUCAUCCACAUCAAGGGUUCAAGUAACAACAACAAUUUACUCUGUAUAAUCUCACAAGUGGUGUUUGAAGAGGAUAGAAUGUAUGCAAAAGUGGCGUCUCCGAUAAACCGUCCAUCAAAAGAUAAGAGUUCAAGGAAUAUAACCCAAAAUAUAUGAAUGUUUGGAGAGGAUAGAAUGUACGCAAAAGUGGCGUUUCUGAUCAAAAAGAUAAGGGUCCAAGGAAUAUAGCCCAAUAUAUAUGAAGGGACAACUAUGAGAACAAAGAUAGAGAACUAGAUAUGUACAAAAUUACAAGAUUGAUUCUCCUGUUUGCAUCCAAAGCUCUGAUUUGAGUUUGUGUAUUACAAUAUUUUAGAUACUAUUUAUAAACAAUUUGAGUUUAAACAUUUUAUAUUGUCCUUUAUUAAAUGAUUUAG